rnacentral:rRNA from 1 species
CACGUAGGGGGCAAGCGUUGUCCGGAUUUAUUGGGCGUAAAGAGCUCGUAGGCGGCUCGGUAAGUCGGGUGUGAAACCUCCAGGCUCAACCUGGAGACGCCACUCGAUACUGCCGUGGCUAGAGUCCGGUAGAGGAGCGUAGAAUUCCUGGUGUAGCGGUGAAAUGCGCAGAUAUCAGGAGGAAUACCAGCGGCGAAGGCGGCGCUCUGGGCCGGAACUGACGCUGAGGAGCGAAAGCGUGGAGAGCAAACAGG